AGACAAGGUUUCCUCAGUCUAUAGGGAUGUGGGAAAGCAGUUUAUAGCGGGGAGAGCAUGCUCAGUGGAAUUGGGGCAUGAAUGACAUCUUGGAGGCCUGAAACAUCUCCUGCAUCAGGAGAAUCUGUAAAGCAUCUGGACUCCUCCUCUCCCCACUUCCAUGGAAUGGUCUUCCACACCCCAUCAGCACUGGACUUGGAUGGGUGACUUAAUUUUGCCAAGAGGAAGUAAGACUAUGUAGAAUAGAUUGCCAGAUACUCUGGCAAUCCAUCACCAGUAACACAUGCCCUUCAUCCUGGACCCAAGAUACCUGCCUAUGCUGCAGUAGUAGGAACUAUGUCUGAAGCUGUCAGGACCUGAAUCAGGGAUGCCUAGUCAAUACCUUGCAAGCCUUUGCCUCUGUCAGUGAACACAGAUAUGAGUAAAUGUAUAUUCUUGGCAGUAUAUAUCAAUGAGUAUUCAGAGUUUAUUAUGCAAUUUUGUUGCAGCAACAGCUGAUAAAUAUAAAUUUUAACACACAUACUCACUUGUACACACACACACACACACACACACACGAAAAACUAUGUAAGAUCAGCUCAUGGACAGAUUCAGACUUCAUAAAAAAACAAAAAGGCAAGAAGUAUGACAUGAGACAGUACAGAAACUUCAAUCUUGAGCUGUAGCAAUGGCCAAGAAUGGCUUGUAAGGCUGGGAUUUAGUAACUGAAUUAAAACUGGGUUGCUACUUCUAAGCCGACUACUUUAGGCUUCCUUAUGAUCACAUUCAACAAAAUAAUUCAUAUUGUAAAAUAAACACAAACUCGUGGUCAAUUGCCGGAAAAGUUAUGGUUUACUUUUUCUUUAAAUAAACAAACAUGCUUGCAAGAAACAGUGACAAACAGAUCUACUGCUGUUUUCCAUUUCAGACUACAGAUGCCGCCAGUGCUGCCUGCAGCCAGGAAGACACUGUUACAGGGUUCUCUUGUGUAUAGCUGGAUUUCUAUGCUGCCCUCAUUCUCCCCACCAUUUCUAUUUCUUUCUUUCUGAAGCAGGUCCUUUAACAAUGAAGUUUUACUAAUUAGACUCUGGGAUGACACUGAAGGGCAUCUAUUGAUAUUCUUGGCCACCAUGUCAAUGGCUCAGCCAGUUCAGGCCCUCAACGUGAAUUUUUUUUUCUGGUAAAUGUAUUUGAUGUCUCUUGAAGAUUUAUAUUCUAAGAAUCUUAAUACAUUAUCAUGCAGACUUCAAGAGACCUAGA